UCAGUUUGAGGCUAUGGGUUUCCAGGUGCAACUCUUCAGCUUCUUCCUUCUCUGGAUUUCUGAUACCAGGACAGAAACAAUAGUUACACAGUCUCUAGCACUUUUGUCAGCGGCUCCGGGAGACAAAGUCACCAUCACCUGCAAAGCCAGUCAAGACAUUGAUGAUGACAUGAACUGGUAUCAACAGAAACCAGGAGAAACUCUCAUGCUCAUUAUUAGAGAAGCUACUACUCGUUUAUCUGGGGUUCCAUCCCGGUUCACUGGCAGUGGGUAUGGAACAGAUUUUACCCUGACAAUUAAUAACAUGGAAACUGAAGAUGCUGCCUAUUAUUUUUGUCAACAAGAUGAUAAUCUCCCACUCACAGUGAUAUACUUUGUUACAAAAACCCCCAAAUGCCUUCAAUGGUACUAUCUCAGCUGCUACUGA